GAUGAACGCUGGCGGCGUGCCUAAUACAUGCAAGUCGAGCGAACGGACCAUAAGCUUUCUUCUCUGAUGUUAGCGGCUGACGGGUGAGUAACACGUGUAUAACCUUCCUAUUUUUCUUGGAUAACUUCGUGAAACCGUUUCUUAUACCGGAUAAUAUUUUUAACCGCUUGGUUCAAAAGUUAUUUACGUUUUUUCUGUCUCUUUUAGAUGUUUCCGCGCUGGAUUAGUUAUUUGGUAAGGUAACGGCUUACCAAGGCAACGAUGCAUAGCCGAACUGAGAGGGGGAACGGCAACACGGGAACAGAGACACGGUCCAGACACCUACGGGAGGCAGCAGGAGGGAAUAUUACGCAAUGGGCGAAAGCCUGACGGAGCAAGGCCGCGUGAGUGAAGAAGGACUUCGGAUCGUAAAACUCUGUUAUUAGGGAAGAAAAUAUGUGUAAGUAAAUGUGCACAUAUUGACGGUACCUAAAGAGAAAGCAACGGCUAACUACGUG
rnacentral:rRNA from 1 species